rnacentral:rRNA from 1 species
AACGUAGGAGGCGAGCGUUAUCCGGAUUUACUGGGCGUAAAGGGCAAGUAGGCGGUAGCCCAAGUUGGAUGUGACAUCUCCCGGCUUAACUGGGAGGGUGCGUACAAUACUAGGUUACUAGAGGGCAGAAGAGGAGAGCGGAACUCCUAGUGUAGCGGUGGAAUGCUCAGAUACUAGGAAGAACACCAGUGGCGAAGGCGGCUCUCUGGUCUGUACCUGACGCUGAGAGGCGAAAGCUAGGGGAGCGAACGGG